rnacentral:lncRNA from 1 species
UUAUAAUACAACUAAAAUAAUUGUAUAAAUAAUGUCUAAAAUUAUUUGAAUCCUUAUGAGACAAGCAAACACAUUAACAACCUGAGAUGUCUUUCUUUGCUCUUUCUGUUUUCAAAAUUGCACUAAACAGGAAGACAGACAGGAAGUGGUAGCCUAAAGCAUUUUAUCUAUGUGAUCAAGACUUAGCCGUGUUAGUCAUGAAGGAGAAACGCUAAAGAAAAUUCUGUAUGUUACAUACGUAGGAUUAUUUUAAACUAAAAGUGGAAUUGGAAAAGUGAGAUUGUGACAGAUUUCCAAUGUGGGGUCAGCAAGUUCAGAGGUUAAGUGACUUUACAGAGGAGCUUCUGUCACACCGUCUUUUACCAUGACAAGAUCAGGUGCCUUAAAACUUUGCAUCCUCUUCUUUCUCACCUUUCAUCCCUGUGUCUACCAGAGUUUUUUCCAAAAAUAUCACAAAUUGAGUUUCUCUGUGAGCCCUUUGACCCUUGCACACCUGAGAAUGAUACACAGGUGUGUGCUCCAUAUGACCCUCCCUGUGUGAUAGAAAUGAUAAAUGCCAGCAGCCAACACACACGUUCUGAAGGCUGGUAUCUGUGUAAAACUGAAAUGGAUCUGCAGCUUCUCCAGAACAAUACCUCACCGUCAGGUGAGAUAGUUGUUUAUCAUCAUUUCAUGUUUGAGUAUUACUGCUACAUGUACAUCGUCUACAGUAAUAACUGUGUGCAUGUUGUACAUUUCAUAGAAGAGCAUGUGAUGGUGCUACUGACAAUGAAGGCAGGCAAUCACUCUGGAUGGAACAUUAGUGAAUUUAUGUUUCUCAACAACACUGAUCUAUACACUGCUGGACCCCAAAAUGACCAGAGACUGUUUUAUUGCAACCUCCCACCAGACAACAGCAAAUGUCCAGAUCUGAACAUAUCCAUGCAAGAAAAAAACACCAGCCCUCCAAUACAAGACCCCUCCAUUUUAAAAACCAAUACUUCUGUGAACCCAACUGCCUUUUCACUCAAAACAACUACACUGUCUUUCCAAGAAACACCUUCUACAGAUGAGCUGAAGUGUCAACCAACCAGCAGCAGUUUCCUCUUUUACUACCAGAUGAACAAUGAAACAGCAAGAUCUGCCGCAUUACCAGUAACCCAAACAAGAAAAGAUGGCUGGUGGUGUGUGAUUACUUCGGUGUGGUUGGCUCUGGUACUGACUGUGAUUGUGGUAACCCUAUUGAGUGUGGGAAACAUGAUCUUUAAGAGCAGAAAACGAAAGUCCGGUUUGGUUGCAUCUGUGCCGGUUUCAGCCCGUGGACGUCAGCUCAAAGAGCUCAGUAAACAAAAAGAAAUUGUGAGUGACACUGACAAGUAUAGAGCUGCAAAAAUUUUCUAUAAGUGUGCUAAUCAAUUCUCUCAUUUUUACUUUCAGUAA